UGUUAAUUGUAUUAUUAUCUUAUGUAGGAGUAUCUUGGGUGUAAAACUGUGGAAGUUUGGGUAAAUCAAAGUCAUAUUUGAGAAGGAAGCAGAUCCCAAAACAAAACUGAACACUGCAUACCAAAAGAUCUCAGUAUUACCUCAAAAUAUCUGAAGCCACUUAAGUUUUAACAAAGUGUUCAUACUCUCAAAUUAAAAUUACAUUCAGACCAGCUUCUUCAUAUCCUUUGAUAAUAUCAGAUUUUCUAAUAGAAUGAAUUUUGUGCCUAAAAAUAAAGUUUUUUUUUUUUUUGAUUGCUUAUUUUUAUAAUAACUGAAGAGAGAGAGAAAAAAAAAAAAAGAAUUCUCCCGAAAAUAGAUGCAUCUCUCUGUAACCAGUUAUUCAAGAUACUGGGACGAAAGGAACAAAGUGAUUUUCACAGAGACCUGAUUACAUUUGCUUUCCAAGCUAUGACAGCAUUUCAACACGCAAGCCAAAUAUCACCUGAUUUCAUCAUCACUUCCCACAGUUAGGUCCGGAAAUCAGUUUGUGAAUAUGCCAAGAGUUAAGGUCAGAAAGACAGACGGGGGUCUGAUUCAGCCAGAUGUUUAUGAGAGGUGUUUCUGUCAGGAACAUCAGCCUCAGGGCAGCUGUCAUGUCACUUUGCUCAGAUACUGCAGGAGGAGAAGACUAGACCACCAGGAUACAGAUCACAGUCUAAAGUCUUCUCCGUGGACCAAGAGAGGAAACUGCAGGCUUAUAUUAUGUGCAUAUUUGCAUAUGAAGUGGCCAGCAGAUGUGGCUGCAAAUAUCCAGAUGGAUGGGAUGCCAGGAGGAUGAUGGGAAAGGACUGGCUCAUCUCCUUCCUUGAACACAACAAUACAUCGUCUGUUCACCGUCCUCAAGACACCAGCAUGUCCCGCUCCACCAGCUUCAAUAAAACACAUGUGACUGCUUUUAUAACAACCUAUAAAAAUAAAGUGGUUUAAGACCACAAGACAAAUUCAUUGCUAUAUAACAUUUAAUAACAGAUAUAAACUACAGACCUUGAUACAUACUAUAGCAUAUACAGAUAAAUACAGACUAUGAGCUGAGUAAAUAUGUAAUUAUACAUGAGUAAAUAUGUAAUUACAUAAAAACACUACACACACCUAGCUAAAAUAAAUACAUUUACAAAUACAUAAAUUAAUAAAUAAAUAUUGAUAUAGAGAUAAUAAAACAAUAAUGGAAAUAAAUAUGUAAUUAUAUACAAACACUAACUA